AAACCGACCAUCAUCGGCUUGCAGGGCGGCGG
rnacentral:scRNA from 1 species